GUAGUUAGCCGGAGCUUCCUCGAAGGGUACCGUCUUCUUCUCGUCCCCUUCAACAGAGGUUUACGACCCGAAAGCCUUCUUCCCUCACGCGGCGUUGCUGGGUCAGGCUUUCGCCCAUUGCCCAAUAUUCCCCACUGCUGCCUCCCGUAGGAGUCUGGACCGUUUCUCAGUUCCAAUGUGGCCGGUCAUCCUCUCAGAUCGGCUACCCAUCGUUGACUUGGUGGGCCGUUACCUCACCAACUAUCUAAUGGGACGCGAGUUCACCCUUCCGCGGAUUUCUCCUUUGACCUCAAAACCAUGCGGUUCCGUGGUCUUAUGCGGUAUUAGCAACUGUUUCCAGUUGUUAUCCCCCUCGAAAGGACAGAUUCCUCACGCGUUACGCACCCGUCCGCCACUACCAUCGCUUCCAUUGCUUUCCACGAUGACCGUUCGACUUGCAUGUGUUAAGCACGCCGCCACGCGUCGUCCUCGAGCACUGAUACAACUACUGA
rnacentral:rRNA from 1 species